AGUAUGAAGUUUGUUGGGGAAAGGGUGCACUCUCAUGUCUGAUGGGUGGACCGACAAGAAAGGAAGGCACUUAAUUAAUUUUCUUGUUAAUUGUACGGAAGGGACUUUUU